AGUGGGGAAUAUUGGACAAUGGGCGCAAGCCUGAUCCAGCCAUGCCGCGUGGAUGAUGAAGGCCUUAGGGUUGUAAAGUCCUUUUAACGGGGAAGAUAAUGACGGUACCCGUAGAAUAAGCCCCGGCUAACUUCGUGCCAGCAGCCGCGGUAAUACGAAGGGGGCUAGCGUUGCUCGGAAUCACUGGGCGUAAAGCGCACGUAGGCGGCUUUCUAAGUCAGGGGUGAAAUCCUGGAGCUCAACUCCAGAACUGCCUUUGAUACUGGAAAGCUUGAGUUCGGGAGAGGUGAGUGGAACUGCGAGUGUAGAGGUGAAAUUCGUAGAUAUUCGCAAGAACACCAGUGGCGAAGGCGGCUCACUGGCCCGAUACUGACGCUGAGGUGCGAAAGCGUGGGGAGCAAA
rnacentral:rRNA from 1 species